rnacentral:misc_RNA from 1 species
AAGGAUUAAAAUAUAUGCAUGAAGACAGUGGACACAAAAUUUUACAUUUGUAUGUUAAGUCAGAUAAUAUUCUUCUUAAUGAUAAAUUUAUACCAAAGCUUGCAGAGUUUGGAAGUGCCAAGAUUUUCCCGGAUUCUUUAACUCAUCUCUCCAUCAGCCAAGUCAUGAUAAAUUCUGGUUACAUGGCUCCUGAAUAUCAAACUACCAACAAGUUUACUGAUAAGCUUGACAUUUAUUCCUUUGGUGUAAUUCUUUUGGAGUUGAUUACCGGGAAACAACCUGUUGGUCAUUUCAGUGGGCACACUAACAUGGUUAAAUGGGCUAAGCCCAUGCUCUCAAAAAGUUUGUUCGAAGGCAAGGACAUGUCCAAUUUUGUCGAUGAGGAAUUACAGGGGUACUAUGACCCUAAACAAAUGGAUCAAAUGGUUGCUUGUGUUUUAGCUUGUGUGCAUGAUGAUCCACAACGUAGGCCACC